UCCUGCAUAGGUGGAAGCUCGGUGGUACGGUCGCACCCACGACGAGGUUGGGUGUCACAGCCGCGUCGCCGGUGAUCCGAUUGGCAGUAGCAGGCGGUGUGGCUCAGUGGCACCCGCGACGUCAGUGCUACAAUCGGUGGAAGCACCCGCUCCCUGUGAGCCACGACGAGGUUGGGCAUAGCACACGCGGCGCCGAUGCUCCAAUCGGCAGCAACAGGAGGUCUGGUUACGUGGUGACUGGUGAGCCGUGCCUCCGGCUGAAGACCAGACAUGUGGUCCUCCAUCGCAUGCAAGGGGUGACGCUGCCGCGCUCGGACGAUGAUGAAGAAGUGGAUGUUGUGCUGUUAGCUAUGCUAGUGGCAAUUGUGUGUACAUUUGCCAUACUAGGAUGUAUGUUUUUGCUGUGAUGUUAUCUGAAUAAGUAGGGACAAAUGCAUUUUCAUUUGCCAAACCAGGAUGUAUGCUUGUGCUGUGUUGUAACGAUAACUGUAACUGGGAUUUUAUCUAUGCUUUAGCUGGGAAGUUGUAUGCACUGCUACUAU
rnacentral:rRNA from 1 species